UGGUUGCUAGAAUUAGUAGCAUGCGCUUUAGGCAUGGCGUUCGAGCCAGUCGGUAGAGCUUGAUAAUUCUUCAUUAAAAGCUAGUUCUGCUUUUCAGCGAGAAGUAAAACAGAGAUCAAAUCAAAAAAUUUGGUGAACUUUUGCGCCCUAUAUUGUUGAUGCAGGACAAUAUUGGUGGCAUGGAAGGUCGAAUAGGUCUUUUCCAAGAGAUCUAAUUAGGUUAGUUCCAUUGUACAGAACUUCAGCAAUGAUCAUAUGUUACAAACUUCAGAGUUGUAUUCAUUCACAGACUUAAAGUCUUGGAAGCGAAGAUAUUGCCAGUCGUGUCUUACUUCAGGCAAGUAGAUAUCUUUCUAGUGAUCAAAACGGUCAGUUAGAGCAAGCCAGAGGGUGCGUGGGUACUCCUCACCGAGGUACUCGGUCUGCGGAGCAUCAUGGAUGUGUCUUCGAAUGAAGGUCAUUGAAAUAGCUUUCUAAGCUUCGUUGACAAGUUUGUUGUUGGUAAGUGCCUCGAUGACGACUUUAAUACCCUUUGUAGUAUGAUGGAGCUUCACGUCUUGAACCCACUUCAUGUAGUUUCUUCCAGAUACUUCCAAAGCGGUGAAAUCGAGCUUAGUCAAGUUCGACAUGUCCCUAUAACGGAGGGUACAUCAAAGACGUGGUUAGUCAUAUCAUAAUCCAUAGACAUACAUCGUAGAACAUUCGGGUUCUACAGGUUUCAUGUGGUAAAUUUUGAAUGAAAAUUUUGGGUUUCAAAGACACUAAAUAUGAAACUACAGGUUUAAUUUAGUUUUAUGAAUGAUUAGUUCAUAAAGGAGAGGUUCCUGCAAGAAGCACAUAAUGCAAUAUGCUGAUUUAAGUGUAGGGGAUUUGAGUUUCUUCGGGAACUCAAGUGUGAGAGCUUCGGGACUACGAAAGGAUGUCAAUGGUUCAAAGUAUAAAAAUAAAUUAUUAAAUUGAUAAUGUCCAAAAGUGAUCUCUAGGUCAAUAAUUUUGGAUUGAUUAUCAGAUUAAUGGAUUGGAGGUCACUUUUAAUUAAUUCAAUAGCUUGGGACCAAACAUGGUUGAUCGUGGAAGCAAAAUAAUAAUAACAUUCGAGUUAAAAUUAUUUAAAAUGCCAAAAAUUAGCGUUUGAUUCGAAAACCCAUAGCCCAAUAGCAUUUGGGCUUGGGUGCCGUGAGUAGGGCAAAGCCCUAGAGGCAUAUGGGUU
rnacentral:lncRNA from 1 species